CGUGGAUGAAGAAGGGCUUCGGCCUGUAAAAUCCUUUUGGCAGGGAAAAAUAUUUUGAUUGUACCUGCAGAAUAAGAGGGUUGCUAACUCUGUGC
rnacentral:rRNA from 1 species